rnacentral:rRNA from 1 species
GAUUGUCUUGUUGUUUUUUUAGUAUGUUUUAUUUUUUAUUAAAGAAUUAUUUUGGUUGUUGUAUAUUUUAGGGAUUUAAUUUUUUUACUAUAGGUUAUUUGUACUGUGAGGGGUUGUUAGGUUAAAUAUUUAUUUAGAAGCUGAUUUUGUUUGUUGUACCUUGUGUAUCAGGGUUCAUUGAAUUUUAUUAUUUAUUUUUAUUUCCCGAUUUUGAAGGAGCUAAUGGGUAUAUUUUAGUUACUGUUUUACUAGUAUUAAUAAUAGGCUAUUUGUAGUGAAAUGUUAUUCGUCUUUAAUGGUCUCUGGUUUUUCAAGAAAUGAAUUUAAUUCAUACGUCUUAUUUAAUUUCUGUUUUUUUUCUAUUUUCUUUUAUUUGAUGUUAAGAUUGAGGGGGAUUAGCUCCUUAUUUUAUUCUUAGAAUUUAUUUUGUUUAUUUAGUUUUGUGGAUUUUAUGGUGAUUUUCUAUUUGAUUAUGUUGAAAUUUUAUUUGCUUUUUUCUUUCUUUAUUGUUUAUUUAGGUUGUUUAUUGAAAUGUUUUCUUUAUUUUUGUAAGAGUAGUAAUUAUUGUGUAAUUAGUAAAUCUUUUUUGUUUUGUGGAAGUAUAAUUUGGUGUUAAUUUUCUUUUAGGAAUUAGGCAAAGAUUUUAUGUCCGCCUGUUUAACAAAAACAUCUUUUCUUGUUAGUUUUUGAAGUAUGGCCUGCCCACUGACUUUAAGUAGUUGAAUGGCCGCGGUAUUUUGACCGUGCAAAGGUAGCAUAAUCAUUAGUUCUUUAAUUGUGAUCUAGUAUGAAUGGUUUGACGAGAUAUAAGCUGUCUUGAGGGUAUUAUUUGUUGAAUUUGGGGUUUGAGUUAAAAUUCUUAGAUGUUUUUAUGGGACGAGAAGACCCUAUAGAGUUUGACAUUCUUCCUGUUUUGUGUUGUUUGAUUUAUUUUGAUGGAGUGAGGGAGAUGUGUUUUGUUGGGGUGAUGGGAGGAAAUAUUAUUAACUCCUCUUUAUUUUAUAUAUUUAUGUAUAUUUAUUUUGAUCCAUUUAUUUUGAUUAUAAGAUUAAAUUACCUUAGGGAUAACAGCGUUAUCCCCCUUGAGAGUUCUUAUUGGCAGGGGGGUUUGCGACCUCGAUGUUGGAUUAAGAUGUAAUUUUCGGUGCAGGAGCUGGGAGUGAUUAGGUCUGUUCGACCUUUAAUAUCUUACAUGAUCUGAGUUCAGACCGGCGUGAGCCAGGUUGGUUUCUAUCUAUAAUAGUGUUUUAUAUCUUAGUACGAGAGGACCGGGUAUUUGGAAUAAUUUCAUUUGUAUAUGAUUUUUAUUAAUAUGUU